GAUGAAGGCCUCACCUCUCCAGGGUUUUGGUUAAUCAUCUUAUCAAGGCUUUCACUCCAUUCCUCUUGUGCAGCAGCUCCAGACCGGGAGCGUUGGGAUCCGGGACAUCCCCCAGCCCGUCCUUCCCGUGGUAAUCUCCAGCGUGUUGUUUACGAGCCAGCAGGGGUUUAUCACAGCCGGCAUGCACUGGGAUCUGUGGAUAAGUUGUGUAAAGCAUUCCUACUUUUAGUCUUACUCCAUCCAUCAGCAGCUCGAAACCUGUGCAACUAUGAUACUGUGCUAUACUCGUAUCACUGCAUAACUUCCACGGACAUUCACGAACACCCCUGAUGUAACAUUCAAACUCACAUCCAGCCUGUUUGCUGCCUGCAGGACACGCAGCGUGUUUUUGAGGACGUUAUCCAGGGGGGUGUUUCCAUGGCAGCAGGUGAUCCCCAAAAUCUCCACAUUGGGGUCGGCCAGGGCCACCAGGAUGGCCUGAGCAUCGUCCACCCCGGUGUCCACAUCAAGGAUCAGCUUCUUCUUCAUCCUACGUUGAACACCAGCCCAAGCUCAAGAAGAGAAAAAGAGACACCAUUAUGCACCUUGUCGUGUGAAUCCACCCGCCCGACAGGAUCCUACAGAGACACAGAAGUAGAGUGUGCUUGGGAGUGAUAAGACGGACUCACAGGGCUUUUAUAAACUCCAUCCUGAACCUCUCCGAAGAAUCCCUCGCCCAGGAUCCGCCCGACAGAUAUGUCGUCUCUGGAGAUCCUGUGCUUAUCUGAUAAUAAGGAACAACACAACGGUGAUAUUUAUUAAGCUAUCCCCUGGUUUGUUGGCUCUGAAUGAUAUCAAUAUUACAUUUGAAAUAGACUCACCACUAGAGUCUGCUUUCCCCUCUGGAAUCUCAGCAUAAAUGUCCGAACCUGACGUUAGAGAAACGUUUUCACUACUUUGUGAUUUAAACACUUGCUACCACUGCUACUUCACAACUGCUAUAGAUUCACUUACUUUUUCUUAUCCCUACUCCUCACUUUUUACCAUUCUUCACCAUAUGUUAGUCCACUCAUCUUAUUUGUGCCUUAAUCUGCACUUUCUCUCGGCUGAAACAAUGUACAUUUACCCAAAAGUGGGAUAAAUAAAGGAUUUCCAAUUAUUGCUUAGCAUGAUGAUUCCAUAGUUAAAGUAAAAAAGUCUCUGUUGAAUCUGUAGUAAUGUCUUACUCAAACCUUUAUCAUGAACAUUGGAACCACCGCUGGAAGAGAAAGGGAGACAUUGUGGCUUUAAAAUUCUUCUUUAAGCGAGCAAUUAAUAACAUUCCAACUAAAAUUGUGAUGUGAUUCAGGACUCUCACCGUUUCGGGAUGUCGGGUAAUUUAUGUCUUGCCUCUCUCCCUGUAAGGAUCAGAUAUUUGGGGUUUAUCUCAGGGGCUUCAAGGUAAUUCAAUUGUAUUAUAUGUUUGAUUAUCAUGAUUAUGGACAAUAAGAGCCCAAACUAUCCCAGGUUGUAAUAAUGGUGCAUGCUUUUUUUUGCCACAUUUCCUCUCAGGUGUACCUUUGCUGGGUCGAAUAAUGAGCGAGUUUGCAGAGUUGUUCUGCAGCCGACAGUACCCGUCGAUCAGGUCGGCCAUGUUUUCUGCCACAGCCAGGGAGGAGGUAUUGACUGACAGUGGCUGGAAGGUCGGAGACAAAAAUAUACUUGGCUCGCACCUUAAUCUCACUCGACUCUUUAUUAAAGUGAAACUCGGGGUCGAUUGUAAAGUGUGAAAACACUGGUCUGCCACUUUACAUUUAUUUUUAGGAAAGGAUGAAAAAAACCCUAAGCUAAUUGACUGGAAAUAAUGCUGUUUGUAUUACUUCAUCGGGUUAAUACAUACCUGUUUGGCUCCCUCUAUGUGCACGGUGAGCAGAGCGCGGCCGUCACUCUCUGCAGAGCAGGAGAUGCUGCUCACCUGAGAGAAGGUGGCCAAACACACGGGCUGCAGAAGAG